GGGGAUGUAGCUCUGUGGCAGAGUGCUUGCCUAGCAUGAGUAAGGCCAGGGAUUCACCCUGGGUUCAAUUCUCAGUAUCUCUC
rnacentral:tRNA from 1 species